CUCAAAGGAAUUGACGGGGUCCCGCACCAGCGGUGGAGCAUGGGGUUUAAUUCGAUGCAACGCGAAGAACCUGACCUGGUCUUGACAUCCUGCGAACUUUCUAGAGAUAGAUUGGUGCCUUCGGGAACGCAGUGUCAGGUGCUGCACGGCUGUCGUCAGCUCGUGUUGUGAAAUGUUGGGUUAAGUCCCGCAACGAGCGCAACCCCUUUUGAUAGUUAACAUCAUUAAGUUGGGUACUCUAUUA
rnacentral:rRNA from 1 species